GGGUUUGCCUGUGGGGGUGGGAUCUAAGCUCACCUAAGAGGUGUGAGUGCAAGCCUGGGUCACAUUCACUAAAAACUGAGGAACUAAAUGCAUCCUUGAGGACCCUGGCCGAACUUGUGCUGUGUGGCUGAGAGCUAGUUUAGGUUCACCUGUGCUGUGUGGCUGAGAGCUAGUUUAGGUUCACCUGUGCUGUGUGGCUGAGCGCUAGUUUAGGUUCACCUGUGCUGUGUGGCUGAGAGCUAGUUUAGGUUCACCUGUGCUGUGUGGCUGAGAGCUAGUUUAGGUUCACCUGUGCUGUGUGGCUGAGCGCUAGUUUAGGUUCACCUGUGCUGUGUGGCUGAGAGCUAGUUUAGGUUCACCUGUGCUGUGUGGCUGAGAGCUAGUUUAGGUUCACCUGUGCUGUGUGGCUGAGAGCUAGUUUAGGUUCACCUGUGCUGUGUGGCUGAGAGCUAGUUUAGGUUCACCUGUGCUGUGUGGCUGAGCGCUAGUUUAGGUUCACCUGUGCUGUGUGGCUGAGAGCUAGUUUGCGUGCGACGUUCUGCAGCAGGACCAGCGCUGUGUCCAGACUGUUCUCCUGAACAGAUGGUUCUACUAUGCUGGACUCUGCUUCUGUCAGAGGAAGCAACAACCUCAGAACGGA